AUUUCUCCACAAGUUAGAGAUCGUUCUUCUCUCUUCUCCCGUCUCGCAGAAUUCGGAGUGAGUUCAGUUCAGUCAGAUCGUUUUUCUUUCCUUAUUUGCUUCCGAUUCCUGCGAGAUCACCUGACUUAAACCUCAGGUGACCUGAUCGCUCAUCGCUACAAACUACUUACAAAAACCUCCCGCGCCGCCGACGACUCCUCCUCUUGCCGGUUCCUGGCACGAUGCAAAUCCUAGUUCAACAAUCCAGAAUUCGGUC
rnacentral:lncRNA from 1 species